rnacentral:rRNA from 1 species
UCCCAAACUGGGAUUAGAUACCCCACUAUGCUUAGCCCUAAACCUAGAUAGUUAGCUCAAACAAAACUAUCCGCCAGAGAACUACUAGCAACAGCUUAAAACUCAAAGGACUUGGCGGUGCUUUAUAUCCCUCUAGAGGAGCCUGUUCUAUAAUCGAUAAACCCCGAUAAACCUCACCAUCUCUUGCUAAUUCAGCCUAUAUACCGCCAUCUUCAGCAAACA